rnacentral:rRNA from 1 species
UACGGAGGGAGCUAGCGUUGUUCGGAAUUACUGGGCGUAAAGCGCACGUAGGCGGCUUUUUAAGUCAGGGGUGAAAUCCCGGGGCUCAACCCCGGAACUGCCCUUGAACCUGGGAGGCUAGAAUCUUGGAGAGGCGAGUGGAAUUCCGAGUGUAGAGGUGAAAUUCGUAGAUAUUCGGAAGAACACCAGUGGCGAAGGCGACUCGCUGGACAAGUAUUGACGCUGAGGUGCGAAAGCGUGGGGAGCAAACUGG